CUCCCUACGGGACGCAGCAGUGAGGAAUAUUGGUCAAUGGGCGGGAGCCUGAACCAGCCAUGCCGCGUGAAGGCGAGUGCCCUACGGGCGUUAAACUUCUUUUGUGCGGGAGCAAUAAGGGCCACGUGUGGCCCGAUGAGAGUACCGCACGAAUAAGCCACGGCUAACUACGUGCCAGCAGCCGCGGUAAUACGUAGGUGGCAAGCGUUAUCCGGAUUUAUUGGGUGUAAAGGGCGUGUAGGCGGGAAAGCAAGUCAGAUGUGAAAACUCAGGGCUCAACCCUGAGCCUGCAUUUGAAACUGUUU
rnacentral:rRNA from 1 species